rnacentral:rRNA from 1 species
CACGUAGGGCGCAAGCGUUGUCCGGAAUUAUUGGGCGUAAAGAGCUCGUAGGCGGUCUGUUGCGUCCGCUGUGAAAACUCGGGGCUUAACCCCGAGCCUGCAGUGGAUACGGGCAGACUAGAGGUAGGUAGGGGAGAAUGGAAUUCCCGGUGUAGCGGUGAAAUGCGCAGAUAUCGGGAAGAACACCAGUGGCGAAGGCGGUUGCCUGGAGCUUUGCUGACGCUGAGGCGCGAAAGCGUGGGGAGCGAUCCGG